GGAUCUUAGCUUCGUGAAGUUUCCCAGGACGUUGCCAGUGGAUCGAAUCCUCUUUGACAUAGAAAAGGGUAGAAUUUUUAGCUUAAAGGAUGAUUUCAAAAUCUAAUCCAUAAGUGAUGAUUAUAAUUACAGUUUACCUAAUAAAUUGACAUUUCAUUUUAAUGAAGUGAAAGCAUUAAACAAAGUGAAAGCAUUAAAUAGUCACUAUCAAACAAAUCUUUAUCAAGAAAGUAAAGUUCCAGGGAAUAACAUUGAGCCUUUGUGUCUACUACAUGUGUGUGUGUGAUAUUAGAAGGUGGGACUGUAUAGAGUCUAUACUGUGUGGAUUAAUAAAAUGAUCCAUGUUAUCCAGAGAAUUCGGGUCUUAGAUCAAUGAUAAUUAUUCUGUCAUUAAAUUAAGUUAGCAUGGUAGGCAUGAGCUCAGUAGAGGUAUUGUCCCUUCUUUUGGUCACUGGUGGUUGUCAGAAGUAAACUUUGCAGUAGCAGCUCUUACCUUCUUUCACAGCCUCUCUGUUUAAUGAUUCAAGCAACUCUCUUCGCUUGAGUAAAGAAAUCAGAUAUGGUUUGUAUUGGGCUAGGAAAAUAGAUUAUUAGCUAACUGAGAGGCCAAUCAUGUUUCUCUACAUCAUCUAGAUCCAACCUUUUAUUUUCCUUCGUCAUUAUAUAACUUUUUUUGUGUGUGUGAUAGAGU
rnacentral:lncRNA from 1 species